CUGGGACCGGCAGCGAUGGCUCCCCUGGUAGCCCAGUUGGCUCGGUCAGUUCAGGUGGCCACGGUGGAUCAGUCCAUUCUCGUUGUGCAGACGGCCAGGGAGGAAUUCGCCAUUUGAGUGGCCCGAACGGAACCUGCCAAUCGGGGAGCCAGUAAGGAGCAGGCUGUGGCGAUGGCCAGGGAGGAAUUCGCCAUUUGAGUGGCCCGAACGGAACCUGCCAAUCGGGGAGCCAGUAAGGAGCAGGCUGUGGCGAUGGCCAGGUCACGGCAUUGGGAACGGCAUCGGGAACGGCCUCAGACAAGGGCACCGCCUCGGGAACGGCCUUGGACACGGGUAUCGCCUCCGGAACCAUCUCGGGCCCCGCCUCGGCCUCCGGAACAGCAUCGGGCACUGCCUCGGGAAUGGCCUCAGGAACGGCAUCGGACAAGGACACCGCCUCGGGAACGACCUCGGCAUCGGGCACCGCCUCGGGAACGGUCUCAGGAACGGCCUCCG
ensembl:lncRNA